rnacentral:rRNA from 1 species
AUUGAACGCUGGCGGCAGGCUUAACACAUGCAAGUCGAGCGGGGUGAUGGUGCUUGCACUAUCACUUAGCGGCGGACGGGUGAGUAAUGCUUAGGAAUCUGCCUAUUAGUGGGGGACAACAUCUCGAAAGGGAUGCUAAUACCGCAUACGUCCUACGGGAGAAGGCAGGGGAACACUUGUGACCUUGCGCUAAUAGAUGAGCCUAAGUCGGAUUAGCUAGUUGGUGGGGUAAAGGCCUACCAAGGCGACGAUCUGUAGCGGGUCUGAGAGGAUGAUCCGCCACACUGGGACUGAGACACGGCCCAGACUCCUACGGGAGGCAGCAGUGGGGAAUAUUGGACAAUGGGGGGAACCCUGAUCCAGCCAUGCCGCGUGUGUGAAGAAGGCCUUAUGGUUGUAAAGCACUUUAAGCGAGGAGGAGGCUCUUUUGGUUAAUACCCAAGAUGAGUGGACGUUACUCGCAGAAUAAGCACCGGCUAACUCUGUGCCAGCCGCCGCGGUAA